rnacentral:snRNA from 1 species
AUCGUUUCUUGGCCUUUUGGCUUAGAUCAAGUAUAGUAUAUGUACAGGACAUAGCUAAUAUACUCAAAUGAAUACCUUUU